UAUUCUCUUGGGGCAACUAUCCAGAGUUUAAGGCAAAAACAGACCAAAAAAAAAAAAAAAAAAUCACAACUAGCAGGGGGACAGGGAAGCAAGGACUGGGGUAAGCAGCCUGUAGAGACACAAAAGUCAGAGGAAACAGGUGUGGAGCUGAUGGAGACCACUAUGAAGAGGCUCUGAGCAGAACUUACAUUAACCAAUUGGCCACUAGUCCCUACUGAGGCUUGUAAUGGUGAGGGAAGCCAUGAGGCCUCCAAGGACAAGACAAGGCCACAGCUGAGGCUUUAGGUCCAACCCCAGUUAACUAAAAGGAAACUGUGACUGGAGCAUCUCACUCCUGCACUGAAGGCCUUCCUGGAGGUAACACAAUUCUCCUAAAUUAAAGUGUUACUUGGAGAAGUCCUUGAAGGGAUUCCCAAGUCCUGCCCAGAUUCCUGCAUUUUCUUCAAUAUCCCCAUCCAGGGAAGUCUUGGUCUUAACCCAGAGAAUCUUGAAUUCAGUAAGAGAGUUGGACCCUCCUGAAGCCCUAAAAUCAUUUCAGCUGUCUCAUUUAUUUAAGCCUUCACCGUCCACUCAUUUGGGAGAUUGCAGGCCUGAUCAGCCCUCAAUAACUAGGAAUUAUUAACCUGAUAUGGAGAAAUACUGUGAACUGUGUCCUCAGGCUUCAACCAUGUGGACUGGUCAGCAUGCAUUGUCUCUUCAGAGGGAACCUCAGAGGAGCUGUCCAGGUCUGGAGGAGGACUGUUGGCUCCCCACUCAAGCAGCUCACAUUGGACUCCAAAGGCAGCAGGACACAAUAUGUCUGUCUGUCUGCCUGCCUGCCUGAUUCCAGUAAGACCCCCAUAUGUCUUUCAUGCAUUUGUUUUCUGAUUUUUAAGUAUUGAGGAUAUAAUAAAGAUUCAAGCAUUGCAUUUGCUCUUAUGUUUGUUGUCUCUCUCUCACGUGCAUUUUUGUUGUUGGUUUUUCGUUUGAUUUUUGAGACAUGGUCUUGCUUUGUAGCUCAGGCUGGCCUUAAACUCACUAUGUAGCCCAGCCUGCUCUUCAACUCAUGGCAAUCCUCUUGCCUCAGCCUCCUAAGUGCUAGGAUUACAGGCCUGUGGCUCCACACCCAGCUUAUUGUCUUUUAAUUUAGAACAGUUCCCGCUUUUCCUCAUGGCACUGACUUUUUAAAGAAUGGCUUGUAGAAUGUCUAAUAAUUUCCUUGUUAAUGAACUCUUGUUAGACAUUUGUUGAGGAAGAAAUGUAGGCAAUAUUGCCAGGUGUGGUGGCACACCUGUAAUCCCAGCACUCAAGAGGCUGAGGCAGGAGGAUCAUUGUGCAUUCAAUACAGCCUGGGCUACAAAGUGAGCUCAAGGCCAGCCUGAACUGCACAGUGAGACCUUGUCUCAAAAAGACAAAAAAAAAAAAAAUGUAGGUGAUAUUUUCUAAUUCUUACACUGCAGUAGGAGACAUAUAAUGUUAGGUUGCUCUACCUUGAGUGAUGCUAGCUUGAAUCACUUGGUUAUUGCUAUUGGUUAUCAUUGUGACCACAGUCUUUCCAUUGUAAAAGUGCAUUUUCCCCUUUGGAAUAUAUCAUCUGUGAGAUGAUAUUUAAUCUUUGCAUGUAUUCUGUUCCCCAAAACAUUUUCACUCAAUAGUUGCAACAUUCGGUGAUGAACCUUGCCUUAAUCAAAUACUGUCCUGGAAGGUGAAAAUGGAUUAAGUGAUUUCAAUAUUCAUAUAUUUUAAAAAUAUGCUUAUAUACUUUUUAAAAAUAGCUAUAAGCCUUUAUAAAAGUAUUUACUAUUACUAUGAAUCUUUCAUUUUCUGUCUAGCUUAAAUAUGGUUCAUUUUAACACCUACCUUUGGUCUGUUGCACCAUCAUUUAAGUUUUAGAAUGGAAGUUGAUGAUUGUAAUUUAAAUUAGGUUUCAGGGUCUUUGAAGACACAAUCAUGUUCCAGCUUCCCUACAGCUAUUAAGGACAACAAAUGAACACACCCAGUGCUCCCCAAAUAUAUCUUUUCCAGAACUCAUGUCAGGCCCUUGCCCACACUGCCCAUUUGGUCUCUCCCACCCAAAUGCCUCACAUGCUUUGAAGUGUCACUGAAUGUCACUUCUCCACUGUGUGCUCAGUAGAAAGUGAUCUUGGCCCUCAUGAUUAUUUUCUGUUCUUAGCCACUGCCUUCCUGCAGUUACGUUUUCUUAAAAGCAUCUCUUAUACUAUAUUUUAUAAGAACUUUGCAGCAUAAACUAGUGGACUCAACAUCCAGUUUAACAAAAAUGUCACCACUGCCAUUGAAGGCCACUUCCCCAGUCCUUUCCCUCCUCUGAGAUAACCACUGUCCAGAAUGUAAUCUCUCUCAUUCCCUUUUAUCUCUUUAUUAUUUUAUUGCACUUCUUAGGAUUCCUACACAAUGAUUUAUUUUUGUGUGUUCUGGAACUUUAUGUAAAUAGAAUCAUUCUAUAAGUAUUUUCUGAAACCUUUGUUUACUUAAUAUUAUAUUCCUAACAGAUAUUUUGUAUUAUGUUAUUGCAUUUUGCCCUUAAUUUUAAGUGCUACAUGACACUCCACUGUGUGAAUUCUUGUCAUCUUUUCUCCUUCUGAUGGGCAUUGUGGUUGUUUCUGAUUCUUUUUUUCUAAAUACUUAGAAAUACACGGUUUUUCUAAGUACUUUUUUUUUCAAGUAAUGAAGAAGCUUUACUGAAGAACAUCUUAAGUUUUAAUACUUAAAUACAUGUGAAAUCAUUCCUAAAUGAAAUACAAAGCCAUUCUUGCUAAUAGUACAAAUUUUGUCCUAUAAUCAUAACUAUAUGCAAGAUUUUUCUUUG
rnacentral:lncRNA from 1 species